rnacentral:lncRNA from 1 species
CUCUCGAAAGAGAGAGAUCGACGUCGGAUCAUUUCACGUUCAUGAUUAUAACUAGGACAUAAAGAUGGCAGAUAAUUGGAAAAGUUAAAUUUUGAUUUUUUUCUGAAAAACGGGACAAGAGCGCGCGACUCAUCAGUUCGAAGACCUUUCAAAACUGAUGCGCAUUGAAUUAGAUGUAUACGUUCAAAGGUUGUGUUUCUACUUGAAUGAUAAAAAAAAAACAAUGGCUCAACAAAAGUCCAAUUGGUUUUUCAAAAAGUUCAUUUUUCAUGUACCUAUGUGAGCUAAGAGUUUACUUUUGGUGAUUACCCAGUGAUGGCCCCUGAUCUAUUUCCAAUCUCUCUGGAUUGAAAUAAAUUAACAAGAGAUGAGGCAGCGAGUUGAAUGUAUCCAUUGUGUGCGUUAAUAAUAUGGUGUAUCUACUAAAGAAUUUUUUAUGCUGCAUUCCAUUGCGCACUGGCACUCAAAUUGUCAUAUGGAUAACGUGCCUGACGAGGUUGCUACUGGUCUUCACGACGAUAUACCUGGCCACGUCUCUGCUGCGAAGCGAGGCGAAUCAAAUCGUCACGAAUUACCCGCGUCCCUCCAAUAGCUCCUUCUAUUACGAAAUCGGCCACGGAAUUGAUCAGCUACUGUUCUUCACGAAAGGAACAUACAUUCAACGUUAUGUUAUCAUGACAGGUAUCACUGCUUUCUUCCAGGUUAUAGCCUGCGCUCUCGGAAUUUUUGCCUUGGAUAAGGGGCGACCAGAUUAUUUCCUACCAUGGCUCAUAAUGUUCAGUCAAACGUGUAUAACGGAGACAGGAGUCUCUUGCACAAAUCUCGCCAUCAUGAGUGUUUUAGGUCAAUAUCCGGAGUAUUUCAUAGCUGAUGCCAUCUCUGCAGUUUCGCAUGGUGUUUUCUUAGCGUAUUUCAUCUGGGUAGUGUUCAGUUUUUACAAAAAAGAGAAGCUCAAAAGAGGAAGACCAUUGCCAAGGGCACCUCCUUACUACCCGCCAUUUUUGGGAGAGACCAAUCCACCCUAUAACCCGGCUGUUCAAAGUAGAGCCAAAGCCUCAACAUUACCUGCUGGUUUUGACACUCAUUGCGAAUUCACAAAAGAUGGAACUUAG